AACGAACGCUGGCGGCGUGCUUAACACAUGCAAGUCGAGCGAGAAAGCCCUUCGGGGUGAGUACAGCGGCGGACGGGUGAGUAACGCGUAGGAAUCUACCCAGUAGUGGGGGACAACUUGGGGAAACUCAAGCUAAUACCGCAUACGCCCUACGGGGGAAAGCGGGGGACCUUCGGGCCUCGCGCUAUUGGAUGAGCCUGCGUCGGAUUAGCUAGUUGGUGGGGUAAAAGCCUACCAAGGCGACGAUCCGUAGCUGGUCUGAGAGGAUGAUCAGCCACACUGGAACUGAGACACGGUCCAGACUCCUACGGGAGGCAGCAGUGGGGAAUAUUGCGCAAUGGGGGCAACCCUGACGCAGCCAUGCCGCGUGUGUGAAGAAGGCCCUAGGGUUGUAAAGCACUUUCAAUUGGGAAGAAAAGCUCAUCGUUAAUAGCGUUGAGCCCUGACAUUACCUUUAGAAGAAGCACCGGCUAACUCCGUG
rnacentral:rRNA from 1 species